AGUGAACGCUGGCGGUAGGCCUAACACAUGCAAGUCGAACGGCAGCACAGUAAGAGCUUGCUCUUACGGGUGGCGAGUGUCGGACGGGUGAGGAAUACAUCGGACUCUACUUUUUCGUGGGGGAUAACGUAGGGAAACUUACGCUAAUACCGCAUACGACCUACGGGUGAAAGCAGGGGAUCUUCGGACCUUGCGCGAUUGAAUGAGCCGAUGUCGGAUUAGCUAGUUGGCGGGGUAAAGGCCCACCAAGGCGACGAUCCGUAGCUGGUCUGAGAGGAUGAACAGCCACACUGGAAAUGAGACACGGUCAAGACGCCUACGGGAGGCAGCAGUGGGGAAUAUUGGACAAUGGGCGCAAGCCUGAUCCAGCAAUACCGCGUGGGUGAAGAAGGCCUUCGGGUUGUAAAGCCCUUUUGUUGGGAAAGAAAAGCAGUAGGUUAAUACCCCGCUGUUCUGACGGUACCCAAAGAAUAAGCACCGGCUAACUUCGUG
rnacentral:rRNA from 1 species